rnacentral:rRNA from 1 species
UACGUAGGGGGCAAGCGUUGUCCGGAUUCAUUGGGCGUAAAGCGCGUGUAGGCGGCCCGGUAAGUCCGCUGUGAAAGUCGGGGGCUCAACCCUCGGAUGCCGGUGGAUACUGUCGGGCUAGAGUACGGAAGAGGCGAGUGGAAUUCCUGGUGUAGCGGUGAAAUGCGCAGAUAUCAGGAGGAACACCAAUUGCGAAGGCAGGUCGCUGGGACGUUACUGACGCUGAGACGCGAAAGCGUGGGGAGCAAACAGG